AUCGGGAGUUCGGGACUAGGGAUUGGCCUCCGGUAGCCCGACAAGUGCCUUAUCCAGUCCCUCUCACUCUUCUCUGCGUAGCGUGAGUGCUGGAGAAAACAUGGGAAACAGUAGCAGCAUGCAUGGGUAGCUUUUGAAUGUGGAUUUGGAUAAAUAUCUAUAUCUAUACUAAUAUAAAAAGAAGUUGCCCCCCUCCAAUGCUACAGGCCAAAUCAUCCCCCAAUCAUCUUUGUCCUCAGCCGUCCGAUCUGUUGAUCCAACAGCGAAAUCACCGAUUCCGCCAUCCCACCACCACACAAAUCCACCGCGCUAUCUACGCCCCCACGCUCUCCCCGCGCGAUGACUCCGCCGCCGCGCCUCCUCGCGCUGCUCAGAUGCGCGCUGCGCCUCCCGACGCUUCCUCCCUCCAGGCCGCCGUCGUCAUCGCGCGGUCCCGACCCCUCCAGUAUCCCCCCCAUCCCGCCUCCUCCUCCACCGCGUCGCCGAUGGUUCCAUGUCGUCGUCGUCGUCGCGCGGUCCCGGCCAGCUGUCCACCGCGCCGUCACAGAUCCAGCCAUCCCUCAUACCGGACUCCCCCAUCCCGACGGCCCCAUCCCAGCGGCGAGGAGGCGCCGUCGCGCGGGAGAUGACUGGUGGGGAGAGUGAAGAGGGAGAGGCGGAUGGCAACCAUCCCUCUGUCACGCUCGCUCUCCAAUCCCCCUUCACAGUCGAGCCCUGCGUCGUCGCCUUCCCCCGCCGAUGCCACCACAUCAAGGCACCUCACGCAUGGAGCUCUUUCCCCGAAGCCGGAUGCAAUGGCCGGUCCCUCGCUAAGGCGCCCAGCAGAUCCGGCCAGUUGCCUCAGCAACAGAGAGUCCACGGACCUCUCCGCUGCUCUGUAAGAGGAUCUGGACUCUUCUGCCAACGAGGCCACUGUCUGAUCCACCAUCGUAGGGGAUUCUUUCCGUUCCCUAAAUGCACCACAUAUCUUCCCCUCCGGAAAUUAUUUUUUUCAAAUGAAAUUGAUAGAAUACCAAUGGCUGUUGUAACAAGACGUGAGGACUGACAAGCCAUCUCUUGAUAUGUUUCUUGCUGAGAUGAGGAGGUUCGAGGUAUUGCCAUCAGUUAAAAAUUGCUGGAAUGUGACUUCGCUCCUCCUCGCUCCUGUGUACUGCCGCCACGCCGCCGCAUCCUCGCCGGAGCCACUUUCUUCUCCAUCCACCGCCGGAGCCGAGGUCCAUCUUACAGUUUAAUUCCUCACUGAAUGUUGACUAUCCCUGCCAAUCCAUCACACGAUUCCCUCUGAAUGCUAAUCCAUUCAAUUAAUUUCCUGCACUGGUAAUAUCUCUCCCAUAGUGGGGAAUCAUGUGUCUUUUGUACAAAUUACAUAGGUUAUUAAACUGGAUUCUCCAUUUCACUUUAGAAGUUGAUUUUCUUGCUUUCUUGGCUAUAUUUCCUGUCAUCACAUCUUACAUUUACAAGUAGGAACGAAAUGAUGGCCGACUACCUUCUUGAUCACUGCGAUGUGCCCCUUCGCUUCAAGGAUAUGCAUAAAUCCAAGGUUGACAUUGUGGCCAACUGGAGAUUUUGGUAAAAUCCUAUCAUGUUUCACCAUGGCAUUUCACUGUUUGGCGCACGGUAUUUAGGAGCUAUUUGUAUAGUAAAUGCUGGAGUAUUGAAGUAAAUUAUAUGUUCAGCUUAUUAACUGCAUUGCGAUAAGCUUUGAUCUAGAUCCGGUUUCAAUUUUCAUUUGUGUGGUCGCAUCCUUUAAUUUAUAUAGCUUCAUAAGAGUAUACUCCGAAGUACAUGCCGUUUUAUGUAUUUUUAUGCCUUCAUAUUCUGAUUGUCUAAUGGCUCUAAAACAACAGACGGGUGGCCUCAUCAGGCGAAUUGCUCCCUAUGCAACCUGACAUUUCAAGAUGACACCCAACCUUUUUGUUCAAUGUGCUUUCACAAACAGGAUUUGGAGAUUGCUCAGGAGCUAGGUGAAUGUUGGCUUUCCGCUUCCCAGUGACCUCAAUGUAGACUUGGCUGAUUGGCAGAUGGCUUCAAGGAGAAGCUUCAGAGAUUAUCUCAGAAAAGUUUUUGGUACACUCUUCUUCUUCAGAGAUUGUCUCAGCAAGUUGUAUGGUUGUGCAGCUCUUUGGUGACAUCAAAGAAGAAAUCACAAUCUGGAGGGAGGCAGGCUUCAUGCAAGUCACUUUAUUCGAAAAUCAACGGGAUGAAAUAACUUGACUCUCAUGGCAUCGGGAAGCUACUCAGCUAAGUCGGCGUACAUGAUGCAAUUUGAGGGCACAAAGGCGAAGCCUUUCAAGCGCAUUGUUUGGGAACCUUGGGCACCGCCCAAAUGUAAGUUCUUUGCAUGGCUAAUACUGCAAAACGAAGUAUGGAGAGCAGAUAGACUUCAAAGGCGUGGCAUGGCAAACCAGCCGCUAUGCCCUCUGUGUGGGACAACGCUGGAAACGUCGUUACACCUCCUAGCAAAGUGACGGCUUUCCAUCAGGAUUUGGAAGGAAAUGGAGCGCUAGACAUGCUAUGAUCUGCAUCUAUAGGAUUGGCAAGAGUAUGACACAGCGGUGCAGUGGUGGGAGGGAUUCGUUUCAAUUCCUGGAAUACCGAAGAAGCCCCUAAAAACGUUGAUCAUCAUGGUUUCAUGGAUACUAUCGAACGAAAAAAACGCAAGGAUCUUCCGGAAUACGGCGCAAACGCCCACAGCUCUGAUCCAGGCCAUCAAAGAUGGAGCUGCACUUUGGUAUAGGGCAGGCGCCCGAUGCCUAACUGAGUUUGUACCGUCGGGAGAGUAAGCCUUUUCCCUUUCCUUUUUGUGCACUAUCACUUUCUUUAAGCAAGCCUUGUACAUAAAGGUGGGAGGGAUUCGUUUCAAUUCCUAGAAUACCGAAGAAGCCCCUAAAAACGUUGAUCAUCAUGGUUUCAUGGAUACUAUAGAUCGAACGAAAGAAACGCAAGGAUCUUCCGGAAUA